rnacentral:rRNA from 1 species
UGCGUAGGUGGUCGGGUAAGUCUGAUGUGAAAUCUCCGAGCUCAACUCGGAAAUGGCAUUGGAUACUAUUCGGCUAGAGGGUUUGGAGGGGGGACUGGAAUACUUGGUGUAGCAGUGAAAUGCGUAGAUAUCAAGUGGAACACCAGUGGCGAAGGCGAGUCCCUGGAAAACCUCCUGACACUGAGGCACGAAAGCUAGGGAGCAAACA